UUCCCUCUGCCGCCGCCCCUCCUCUGCCGCCGCUUCGCGCCGCCGCCAAACUUCGCCAAGCUCUGCGAUCACCGGCGUGCGCUCGACCAAGCUCCUCCCGACGUGCUCAACCGCGUCCGCGUCCUGCACGACGUCCCGGUCCCGGCGCCUCGCCAAAACUCCGUCUUCCUCGCCGGCCGUCGGGCUCCCAGCAUGUCCUCGUCAUCAACGACCUGCGCCGCGUCCGCCCAAGCUCUCCCGGCCCGUCCGCCUCCUGCGUGUCUUCAGGGACGCCCUCGACGCCGCCCGGUUUUUCCCGGACAUCAUCGCCAUCAUAGCUCCGUCGUGUACCCGAAAACCAGUCGGCCGCCAAGUUCUCCGUCUGCUGCUCGUCUUCGCCUGUUCUCACGCGUUCGUCAUCUGUACAUGAUCCUCGUCCACCAGGCCCAUGCUUGCACUUCGUGUUCCGACGUUGUUCAUCACGCUCCGUCGUUUUUCCCUGCCGCGCGUCCGUGGCCGCCUCCUCGCCUCCAACCAUCGCCCGGCAGCUGCACCUCCUCGCCAUCAUCUGUGUAUUCUUCUUCGUCCGCUGCAGCCAAAGAUCCUGUGUUCAAUUCCUGUGGACGCCAUCGACCUUUUUCCUCGACGAGCCAAGAUCUGCAGUGAGACAACGUCCAACAUCAGUUUCAUCAGCUAUCGCGUGUACACGCAGUCAGGUCGCUGCGUAUGUUUCUUUUGGUUCCAGUACUCCACUUGAUCGUGAUCUGAAGCUAGCCCAACUGUCGGGCCCGGAGAUCAGCGUCCCAGACUAGGUUUCUAUCCGGUGCAAACAUCUCCGACGCCCCGCUGCUGCGUCAGCGCCCAGUCAGCACCUCCCUGGCCCGCGCGUCAGCCGCCCAGGAUAGCUUCAACCUCGCAUUUGCUUCUUCCAGGAUAGGAUCACGAAGUGGUGCGGUGAGAUACGUCAAAUUCUCCGAAUGUUCCUCGGCAAGUUUUAACA